rnacentral:rRNA from 1 species
GACGAACCGUGCGAACGUUGUUCGGAUUCACUGGGCUUAAAGGGCGCGUAGGCGGCUUGCCAAGUCAGGGGUGAAAUCUUUCGGCUCAACCGGAAAAGUGCUUCUGAUACUGGCAGGCUGGAGGGAGGUAGGGGCAGAUGGAACUUCCGGUGGAGCGGUGAAAUGCGUAGAUAUCGGAAGGAACGCCGGUGGCGAAAGCGAUCUGCUGGACCUCUUCUGACGCUGAGGCGCGAAAGCCAGGGGAGCAAACGGG